AAACCCCUGUGAACAUACCUAUACGUUGCCUCGGCGGAUCAGCCCGCGCCCCGUAAAAAGGGACGGCCCGCCCGAGGACCCCUAAACUCUGUUUUUAGUGGAACUUCUGAGUAAAACAAACAAAUAAAUCAAAACUUUCAACAACGGAUCUCUUGGUUCUGGCAUCGAUGAAGAACGCAGCAAAAUGCGAUAAGUAAUGUGAAUUGCAGAAUUCAGUGAAUCAUCGAAUCUUUGAACGCACAUUGCGCCCGCCAGUAUUCUGGCGGGCAUGCCUGUUCGAGCGUCAUUUCAACCCUCAAGCUCAGCUUGGUGUUGGGACUCGCGGUAACCCGCGUUCCCCAAAUCGAUUGGCGGUCACGUCGAGCUUCCAUAGCGUAGUAAUCAUACACCUCGUUACUGGUAAUCGUCGCGGCCACGCCGUAAAACCCCAACUUCUGAAUGUUGACCUCGGAUCAGGUAGGAAUACCCGCUGAACUU
rnacentral:rRNA from 1 species